UCGCACCUACCGAUCGAAGGUAAUGAUGAGCCCUCAGGACAGUCGACUAGCGCCUUCACGGGAGCUUUUUGGCCGAAAUUUGUGCAAAUCCUUACCUUUAGAGGAAGGUG
rnacentral:rRNA from 1 species